rnacentral:lncRNA from 1 species
UCUAUGACACCUUCAACUCUUGUCCUUUCUCUUUCAGGAUCCUCCAUCAUUUUGUCUCACCAGGCUUAAUGCUGGGUAUUUCUUCAGACUAAUUGUUUGUUUAUAGAAUUCUCCAUCCAGAGUACAUUGAUAGACGUCAUUCCUUUCAAAGAGGACCUAGAUACCUGGGUGUUUCCCAAGGAAGUAUGAAAGCUGAUAUAAACAUGGCAUUUCUGGCAUUCAUCUUCAUGAAUCCAUGAACAAGAGGGAGAAGCAGCAAUGAAUGAUACUUAUGUACAACCCCAAAUAAGAUAGUGUUAAAAAUAAAUUCAAGAGUUAUCUGCCUCGGUCACUUAAGGGCAGGUUCAGAGAAAUGGUGUAAAAGGAUAAGAGUAGAGGAUGGCUAAAAGCAAAGGUGAAAACUGCACCCAAGGCGAAGGAGCAACUUUCCACUGCAUGUCUCAGUUUGGCUCAAGAUGAGUGCGGGAGAUGGAGGUCGAGUCUCUGGAGACUUUAUCUGAGGGGCAAGCAGGGUCUUCACGAGAUAUCUCUUUGUCAGUCAUUCUGCUGUACCCUACUCUGUGCGGUAUGAGUUGGAGCCAGAAGAAAUGGAACAUCUAA